rnacentral:rRNA from 1 species
AAAAACAUAGUUAAUAGUUAUUAUUAUUAAUAUAUCCUGCUCAAUGAAUAUUAAAUAGCCGCAGUUCAUACUGUGCUAAGGUAGCAUAAUCAUUUGUCUUUUAAUUAAAGACUAGAAUGAAAGGAUAAACAUUUAAUUCCUUUUUAUAAAUUCAUUAAUUAAAUUUAUUUUAAAUGUAAAAAAACAUUUAUAUUCAAGAGAGACGAAAAGACCCUAUUGAACUUAACUUAAGUUAAACUGGGGCAGUUAAUCAAAAAAUAUUUUAAUAAUUUAUCUUCUUUAAAUGACCCGGUCAAACCGAUUAUAUGAUCAAGUUACCAUAGGGAUAACAGCGCAAUAUUUUUCUAUAGAUCUUAUAUAAAAAAAAGAUUACGACCUCGAUGUUGAAUUAAUUUUUCUUAUAAAUGCAACAAUUUAAAAAGAGAGUCUGUUCGACUUUUAAAUAAUUACAUGAUCUGA